rnacentral:lncRNA from 1 species
AUAUCCAUUUCCAAAAAAACUACAUAAAAAAGGAACAAGUUAUGUGAUAUGAUAAAGAAAUAAAACACUCAUACAGGAAGAAGAAGAGAUCAAUGUUUUCAAUUUCAAUCCAACCUCAUCAUAAAGAAAAUAUGUAUUUACUGAUCACAUCCCUUUAUGCUAGACUCAUGUGAAGAUCAAACGAUGAUGCAUUCAUGUCUACAUUUUCUUUCAAAUCUUCAAGCAACUUUUCUCUCAACGCAUCGAUCCAUAUAACUCCCAUUGAUGUGUUAGGUACUUUAUAUAAUUGUUCUGAUUUGUUAGCUUCAAGUUGUUCCUUUUGUUUUCUCAUACUCUUUAUUUCUUCUACAGUUGUACCUAACUAUUAAAAAACAAAAAAAAAAUCUUAGUACAAGUUUUAAAUUAUGUGAAGUGCAUCAAAAACUUAUAAUUAUGCUUUAAACUAUUUAGACUUACAUGUCAUAGGAUGAUUUGCGUUGACUUCAAGCUAAUGUCAACCAUACCCAAUUUUCUAUUGAUCCUUUUCUUUGAUUUGUUCGGUCUGUUGCCCCUAUUUUGGUGAAGUCCACCGACUUUAUAUUUUACUUGUCCAACGAUUGAAUCCUAAUAGUCAAUAAAUUAAAAAAAAAAUUACUAGGUAUACAUUCAUUAACUACUUCAAUAAUACAUUCAUUCAUUAGAAUCAAGAAAACUUACCUACAUUCCCAAUAGUGUUGGAUGUUGCUUGUUUCGACAAACUUUCAUAUAUCUCCUCCUCAUUAAUUGAGUUUAUGACAUUGUCAAUUAUAUCAUCUGGAUCUUCGACAUUCUAUUUCAUGACAUAAGAUUAUCAAAUAUCAUCGACUAACAAGAUCAUGUUGUAUUUUAUUACCUCGUGGCUUGUGUUUCUUCCGCCCUCUCUUUUUUAUUCUUUGUCUUCAUUAGGUUGUUCUAUUUACUGGUUCAUUAGAUUAGAAGUUGCUAUCUAGUGUUGUUUAUUUUCAUCCCCUUCAUUUUCUUCACAUAUUUUUUUGGUUGAAAUUUGUCCACCCCACAAUAUGUAUCAGCAUCUAGAUUUUUUUUCAUUCUUGUCUUUUUCUUCUUUUAUACUAUCAAGCCUCCUUUAAAUUUCAGUAACCGCCUGUUUAGAUUAUUUCAAAGGCAAUAGUAUAUAAAUAUCUUUAUUGAGUAAUAUAUGUAAUAGAACAUGUAAUUAAAAUGUUAUUAUACUACAUACCAUAAAUUGUUGGCCGUUAACCUGUUCCUUUACAUGUCAUUCUAUUUUUUCCAUCUUAUUCACCAUUAGAUUCAUUUUCUCCAUCAAUAGUUCCAUUUUCUCUUUCAAUAAGGCUUGAGUCCUCAUCAGAACACGUUGGUUUUUAUUCAACAUUUUAUUUAUCGCUUGAUUUUUGUCUAUUCUUGCUAGCAUUUCCAAUACAAGAUCAUUGUCAACUAUGUAGUGUCCCCCCUCUAUUAAUUGGUAGGUCCACUACAUUUGACUCUAAUAUACUUUUCUGAAGUUCUGCUUCAACUUCAAUGAUGAUUUUUUUUUCUUCUUCCAAGAAUGGUUCAAACCAUGGCAUUGUCAUUUCUUCUUUUGUUGCUAGAAGUGGAUAUAUUUCAAGCUAUAGGAUAACAAACAUACAAAAAAUUCAGAUUAUUGUGUACUAUUUAAAGGAUGUUGAUUAUUAAAAAAAAAUUGUCGUGUAGUACUUAAAAGAUAUAACCUUGGGUGAUUGAAAUACUUUCUUCUGCAAGUCCGUCCAUUUUGGUUGGCUAUCAGUUGCCCAAUUUAUUAUUCUUGGGAUCUUCAUUCAGACUCUUUUUGCAAAACAGUUUUGUCGUGAGGUCAAAGUGAGGAUUACUUCAUAAGCCUAUGCAACGAUUGGAAAGACAAAAUCGCCCAAUAUCAUGCCUGUAGCACCCUUGCUAGAUGUUGCUUUGUACAUUGCAUCAACUAAAAGGUCAAAGGCUAACCUACCCAAGGAUAUGUUCUAAAAAGUUCUUCAUCAUCAACCAUCAACACAUGGUCAAUGUCUACAUAUACACUAUCCUGUUUAGGUAAAAGGAAACUCUUCAAAAACUAUAAUUGAGUCAUUUUUAACCUAUCACUAUCAGUCAACCUUGAACCCUACAUUGAUAUAUAUCCUCAUUAGUUUGCUUUCUCCAUCAAAAUACAUGUCUUUUAUAUAACCCCCCUCCCCCCUCUCAAUAUCAUCUUUGGUUAUCUUUGGUAAAGGUCCACAAUUAGGCCCCGUUAUUAAAGCAAAUUCUCUAAGACCGAAUCUUAUGACUCUUCCUCCUAUUAAGAAGUUUAAUUCUUUGGAAGAUUUUGAUUUGUAUUGUUUUUGUAUCAGAUGCAUCAAUAAUUGUGAGGAUUGAUUGGUAAUCGCAAAGUCAAGGAAGUGUCCAAAAGGUGUUUCCCUAAAUUUUUCUAAGAGAUUAUCACCUAGUUUUUUCUUAAUUUUUUCAAUUACUUCUAACUUAGUUUCAAGGUUUAUUCUCAAUAGUCCAUUUCGCUUUUGGAUUGGCAUAAGGUAUAAUCCAUCCUAAGACAAUAAAAAUACAUAAUGAAUAUGCAACCAGUCACAACACAAAUAUAUGCACUUCAAAUAAUUAAUCUAUAAUUAUGCGACCAGUUACAACACAAACAAAUUUGGUAUGCAACUAGUCACAACACAAAUAUAUGCAGUUCUUCUAUUUAUACAGCCAGUCACAAAAAAAUAUAUGCAAUUCAAUAAUAAUCUAUAAUUAUGCAGUUAUUCACAACAUAAAAACAUAUUCAGUUUUUUAUUUAGCCAACACAAAUACAUGCAGUAAAGAAUAAUUAAUCUACAAUUAUUUAGCCAAGAAAUAUAUAAAGAAGGCAUUUGUAUGUAUUACAAACCUCACUUCUUUCUCCAGUACUAACAACUUUUUCUGAAGCAUGUUUAGUCUUCCUUGAUCUUGCCUUCAAGGUUGAACAUUGUAUUAACUUUUACACACAUCCAUUUUAUAAAGAAUAAAAAGAAACGCUACCUUUUUUUUCUUCAACAAUUGGUGUCUUAGGUUGUUUUGAAGUAAUUUCUUCGUGGCUUUCUGAGUACUGUUCACAAAUCUCUUCUCUUUCUUUUUGUUCUUUCUCUUAUGUAUUAUCUUCAAUAUAUUCAACCUUGUUACUGCGAUCCUGCAUUUUAAAUAAUUUCAUUUAAAUUAUAUUAUACUGAAAAUAUUGAUAGAACUAAGACAUGCAAAAAAGAAUCGAAUUUCUACCCUAAUUGUCACAAUUAACAAGUAACCCUAAACUAAUCAAAUUAGGGUUUUAGGAAAUAUUACCUUUGAAGCUUUCAAAAACUUUGAUACCUCCUUAGCAAUUCAAACCGAGACGACCACUAGUGCUCAACUACUAUCCUCCGGACAAAGACCCGGGUUGUGGGACCCAAUUUGAUGUAGAAAGUAAUGGAGAUAAAAGAAACUUGGAAGGUAGAAGUUUUUUUUUCUUGGUUGAGAUAUUGGAGUAUAUUAAAAAAGGCAAAAGUUUUCAACCAUUUGAAAACUCCCCUAUUUAUAACCUAAUUAUCUGCAAAAAUGCAUGUAAUUAAUUUGCCAAAUCUCAACACUUAAUGUUCCACUAACAAUUAGUGGAACUUAGUGGACUAGGUGUCUAUAUCUCAUAUAGCCACAUAUCCCACUAAGAGUUAGUG